rnacentral:ncRNA from 5 species
UGAGUAUUACUUCAGGUACUGGU